UGUCUAAGCUACAUCAUACGUGUGCCAAGAAGCACACGAUUAAGAAAAUAACGGGAGUUCUUCGAAGAAAACCCUCAUUCGUCUGUGCAUGCUCCUCUUCAACUUAGGGACCUACAAACAAUAUCAUUCUAUUCCUAGGUACAACACAUCUGCUUUCUUUGUCUUAAUUGAAGUUUUUGUUGUUUGUUUUCCCCUAUUUAUUGAUUUAAUAUCUAAGAACUUCAAUUCGUUUCUUUCGUUGUUCAAUUUUCAUUUUAAUUUAAUUAGUGAUUAAUUAUCCUUUCAUCAAUUACAUACCUGUUAGGUUUGAUUUAACUUGCCCUUGUUCAGCUAUGCAACCAAUCGUCAAUCCAAAUCCAACAAUAGGUAUAAAUGGGAGAGACUCCCAAUACAGUGACUGAUUCUACAUUCUUGGACAACCUUGCAAAAAAAAUCCAAACAGUGUUCUAAUUACAAGAAUAAAUCUUCCGUAACGUUAGUUGUGCCAGCCCAAGAGAUAAUCUUUGCAGCUACAUCGUAGCAGAUUUCAUCCAGUUGUGAGUGCAUCUUUUCAAAUAUUCUGCAAUUCCUUCCCAUCCAAAUGGUCCAAAGGAUGCAAGCUGGAAACAAAUGCCACACAAGUCUGUCUCUUCUGUUCAGCCUAACAAUAUACAAACUGUUAAGGGUCAUGGGUAGAUUUUGGGAAGACCCAGCUCAAGUGGAGGCUAGCAAGAAAAUGAGCCCAAAGUAUGCCUGCUUACAUGUCAAUGCAUAAAGAGAUGAUCUGCAGUUUCCAAUUCAUAAUUGCAAAGAGAACAGUUGGUGGAUGGAAGGUUUAUACUUCUUUUGAUAAGAUUAUCUUCGAUUACACAUUUGCCAAGAGAGGCUAUCCAGACCAAGGUCACAUUACAUGGAACUUUACGCACCCAGACAGAUAUGUGGGGAGAGUUAGUAGGAGCAAAUUUGUUAUGACUGUACGUAGAUUUGACUGAGAAACAUCAAGAUUUAUUCCACCUCCAAACUCUGUUGUCCUCACUGUUAUUGUUCACCUGGUAAUUUUGGAGAUUACUAAGCAAUUCCUCUAACUUCCGAAUCUCACAAUCUUGAAGACUUCUUCUAAGGCACCCACCUUCCAAGGUUUGCUUCUUUGGACAGGUCUCAAUGGCUAUCGAACCAUUGUGGUCUUGGUUCUAGAGAGAUACAUUUGGCUCAGAUAAACUUCCUGUAAUGUUCACUUUACAACUUCCUGUAAGUAACUGUAUAAAUGGGACCCAAGAGUACUAUUUGCAUAUUUUAAUGUGUUAUUGGGUCUCACACUUGAUAUUUCACAUGUGUAUUAAGCACAUGUUUAUUCA